AGAUUCUGGGCCGGGUGUGGUGGCUCACACCUAUCAUCCCAGCACUUUGGGUGGAUCACUAGGUCAAGAGAUUGAGACCAUCCUGGUCAACAUAGUGAAACCCCAUCUCUACUAAAAAUAUAAAAAUUAGCUGGGCAUGGUGGCGCAGCCUGUAGCCCCAGCUACUCGGGAGGCUGAGGUGGGAGGAUGGCUUGAAUUCAGGAAUUUCAGUGUCCAGCCUCAGCAAUAUAGUGAGAUGACCUCAUCUCUGAAAAUAAAUAAAAACAUAAAAACAAUAAAACAAAACAAAAAGAAAUUAUGAAUUGAGUAUAAUUAGAUUUGUCAGUGUUGGAAUUCGAGGUGAGAAGGUUUCUGAAAAUGACUCCAUAGAGCAGGUGAAUUGGGGUUUUGAAAGUUGAGUAGUUUUUUAAAUGAAGUAGAAAGGGGCAUUUCAGUGCAGGUAGAUCCUAUUAGGAGUUAGUCUAGUAACCAAAGCAAGUGAGGGUAAAGACCUGGCUGAGUGUAGUGUCAGUAGGAUUGGAGAGGAGGAGGAGAUUGAGAAUUUAUGUGAUAAAAUCAAAUAAAUGGCUCUUUGAUGCUGCCUGAUAUGUACAAUUGGGUCACAGAGGAGUCAGAGAAGGUGCUGAGGGCAUCCUGGGAGGGAGGGCACUGCAUCAUCUCUGUACUUCCUUCAAUUCCACCCAAUUUUUCUCUUCCUCCUAGGACAAAAGCUUGCUAAGAGGAACUUGUCUUCUCGUUCACUGCUGAGUCUUCAGUUCCCAGAACAGAUCUUGGCACAUGCACAUUCAACUUCUGCUGACUGGGUGAUUGAGAUGUUGCAAAUGCCAUCGUCAAGGGUGCCCCUGUUGCCUGAAUUCUAACUACCUUGGUGAAGUCUCACUGCUUAGUUUAUAAUGAGUAUUUCAGUAUGGAGAUCUUCUACGUCCAGAUUUAAUCACUUUUCUGUAUUUGUCCGUUCUGCUUCUGCUGGUGUUUUGCAGUAAGCCAGAAGUAAGUGAGAUAUUGUGGACUGCAGGAAGAGGUUGAACAGGUAACUCCGAUUAGACUUUCACAAUGGGACUUCCAUAUUGCAUUUACAUGAUCUUGGAAGGGGCCUUUUAUCAUAAUAAUUCUAAUAACUGAUAUUUAUUUAACACCUAGUACAUAGUAGGAACUCUGCUUAGUACUUUAUAUAAAUUAGUUCAUUUAAUCUUUCUAACAACCCUGUAUUUAAUCUUUACGACAACCAACUAGGGUUUUUAUUUCCAAUUUGUAGAUGAGAGAACUGAUGCUCAGAGGUAUUGUGCAACUUAAAAAUGCACUGCAGCUAGGUAACCACCUGCUAGUUUCCCAUCACAGCUAAGGUGCCAGAGCUAAGGGAUAACACACGUCUUUAAUCCCAGCACUUUGGGAGGCCCAGGUGGGCAGACUACCUGAGGUCAGCACUUUGAGACCAGCCUGGCCAAGAUGGUGAAAGCCCAUCUCUAUUGAAAACACAAAAAUUAGACAGGUGUGGUGGCAGGCACCUGUAAUCUCAGCUACUAGGGAGGCUGAGGCAGGAGAAUCGCUUACACCUGGGAGGCAGAGGUUGCAGUGAGCUGAGAUCAUGCCAUUGCACUCCAGCCUGGAUGACAAAGUGAGACUUCAUCUCAAAAAAAAAAAAAAAAAAAGUGAUGCUCAAGCCAGGAGAUAAAGACCUGAAGAAAUCCCCUUUCCU
ensembl:lncRNA